AGGCGGUGUGAGACAGGGGGAUCCUUUAUCCCCCGUUGUUACCGGGCUUAAUCACCUGGGCAUUCUUUCUUCAAUUACCGAGACCUGGACAUACAAAGAUCUAGGCAGCUCAUCUUCUUCUAACGAAGUCAGAUCUUUUUCCAUACCAUAACGUAUAUAGAAUCGAUUUUCUUUUCUGAUCGCUAGCCUGCCGGGCCGCCCCCGCGAUCAAACUAUCAAUCUCAUAAGAGAAGAAAUCUCUAUGCCCCCUUUUUCUUGGUUUUCUCCCAUGCUUUUGUUGGUCAACAAUCAAACCAACCACUAAUUCUUCCUUCACUACUAAUACAGGAAGAAGUCUUGUCUUCUUCUGUUCGGAAUCCAUUUUUUUUUAUCAAAAGAAAGACUCAAAAAUAAUAUAAAUAAUAAUAUAUAGAAUAUAGAAAGAAUUGCUUAAAUAACUCAGCGAUCUAAAAUCAUAGUCACGAUCUACUAAAAGUCAAGUUGAGCACCCGGACCAGAGGUGGCCGAGAAUCUUAUGUCAAAAGGACUAACGACGAUGAAAGAGGAGAAGGAGGAGUAGGAGGAGUCAGACGGAAUCAAAUGAUUACGAGAUAGACAAUGAGACCAGGGAGAGCAAGAGCACUUAGACAAUUCACUUUGAGUACAGGAAAGUCUGCUGGUAGGAAUUCCUCAGGGCGUAUUACGGUUUUUCACCGAGGGGGUGGCUCGAAGCGAUUGCUGCGAAGAAUUGAUCUGAAACGAAGCACUUCCUCUAUGGGCAUUGUAGAGAGUAUAGAAUAUGACCCUAAUCGUUCUUCUCAGAUUGCUCCAGUACGAUGCAUCAAGGGGGGCUGCCAAAAAAAAAUGAACACGAUCGAGGAGUUAGCUCCGCCGCGCAAGAUCCUCGAACCUACCACGAACACCAUCAGUGGCCUCUUUUCGUUCUCUUUCCUGCCUGGGAAGGUGGAUCAAAGAAAGGUAGCUUGCAUCUCUCCUGGACUGAUGGCAAUGAGACCAGGGAGAGCAAGAGCACUUAGACAAUUCACUUUGAGAACAUGAAAUUCUGCUGGUAGGAAUUCCUCAGGGCGUAUUACGGUUUUUCACCGAGGGGGUGGCUCGAAGCGAUUGCUGCGAAGAAUUGAUCUGAAACGAAGCACUUCCUCUAUGGGCAUUGUAGAGAGUAUAGAAUAUGACCCUAAUCGUUCUUCUCAGAUCGCUCCAGUACGAUGGAUCAAGGGGGGCUGCCAGAAAAAAAUGAACACGAUCGAGGAGUUAGCUCCGCCGCGCAAGAUCCUCGAACCUACCACGAACACCAUCAGCGGCCUCUUUUCGUUCUCUUUCCUGCCCGGGAAGGUGGAUCAAAGAAAGGUAGCUUGCUUCUCUCCUGGACUGAUGGCCGCUUAUGUAGUGGUCGGCCUUCCUACCGGAAUGCCUCCUUUGUCUUCGUAUAAGAGCGCCUUUGCUAGUAAGGGCGCAGGAAGCACAAAAACUUUAGUGAAGGACGUCUUCUUCUCUGCCUUCUCCUCUCCAAAGGCCAAGAGAGAGACUGCAUCCCUUGCCUUCGCUAGCUCUUUUGGUUUCCCAAGGAUAGCGGUAGCUGGGGUUCCUACCGCUUUCUUCGCUCCGCGAAUGAGACAGAAAGUGAGAGGAAAAAGCACGUUUUCUCUUUGCGAGGUCCGAAAGUGGAGAACGAAUAGCAUUCUUUUAUAGCGGUAUCACCACCAAAGACAACAAUCCCGACAUUCUCAUUCUCAAGAUUCAAGGCCAUUCCUUUCACACCGUUGGCAAAAAGAACCAUUUCCCCAGCUUGAAUCUCGUUCAAUCCAUAAACUUGUGCAAUCCCAUCUCCAACUGAGACCACUCGACCGAUCUCAUCCACUUGAAAAUUCGCGUAAAAGUUCCUAAUUCGACUUUCGAAUAGAUUCGUUAGUUCCGCAGCUCUGGGAGAUAAUUCCAUAAUUCCAUUUUUGAAUUCAGAGGCAAGGAGGAAUACCGCUUUAGAAAAAAAAAGUCAACCUUAUGAACUGAACGAAAGCACUAACUCCAGAGCUUGGGCAAAGUAGCGACUAUUCGUGCCCUGAUAGAUCAGGUCUAAAUAGAUCGCGUUCGCUCCUAAGAGAUUCUCUGCAGGAGUAUCAACAAUAAUAAAAAAAAAGAUUUAAAACUUUAGGUAUAUUUAUACCCGUUAGAGACGGAAUGUCAUCAUAAGGGUGUUGUUCCUUAUAUUUAGUAAAAAGAGAUGAGAGUAGGAAUUCCACUUCUUGCUUUUUCAUUUUAAACAGCAAGGUAGUUGUAGGAAUCUCUUUUUAAAAUAAAAAGAAUUUAUAACCCACUAGUCCGAGUCCGAGUGAGGAAAAGAUUAACGCCCCUAAAAUGCCUAGUGAAAUGGAGUCACCCAGUUGAGACAUGAUUAGAUUAAUUGAUUUCAACAAAAUGAUUCCCUCCAGACAGCUUCACUCCGUCAAGCCUCUAGGAGUAGUGAAGAACUAUAGAAAGUUGUGGUUGGUUGUUGACCAACAAAAGCAUGGGAGAAAACCAAGAACAGGGGGCAUAGAGAUCUCUUAUAUUUCAAAUUGAAUGAGAUUUUGCUUCUUUCUUUAUUUUUUGAUAUGCCGCUUCUUCGC
rnacentral:lncRNA from 1 species